rnacentral:rRNA from 1 species
AUGCAAGUCGAACGAAGUAGCAAUACUUAGUGGCAGACGGGUGAGUAACAUGUGGGUAUCUUCCCUUUGGUGAGGAAUAACACGAGGAAACUUGUGCUAAUACCUCAUAAGUCUUUACGGAGAAAGCUUUAUGCGCCAAUGGAUGAGCCCGCACUUGAUUAGUUUGUUGGUGGGGUAAUGGCCUACCAAGACUUUGAUCAAUAGCUGAUCUGAGAGGAUGAUCAGCCACAUUGGGACUGAGACACGGCCCAAACUCCUACGGGAGGCAGCAGUAGGGAAUAUUGCACAAUGGAGGAAACUCUGAUGCAGCGAUGCCGCGUGAGUGAAGAAGGCCUUUGGGUUGUAAAGCUCUUUCGUCGGGGAAGAAAAUGACUGUACCCGAAUAAGAAGGUCCGGCUAACUUCGUGCCAGCAGCCGCGGUAAUACGAAGGGACCUAGCGUAGUUCGGAAUUACUGGGCUUAAAGAGUUCGUAGGUGGUUAAAAAAGUUGGUGGUGAAAUCCCAGAGCUUAACUCUGGAACUGCCAUCAAAACUUUUUAGCUAGAGUAUGAUAGAGGAAAGCAGAAUCUCUAGUGUAGAGGUGAAAUUCGUAGAUAUUAGAAAGAAUACCAAUUGCGAAGGCAGCUUUCUGGAUCAUUACUGACGCUGAGGAACGAAAGCAUGGGUAGCGAAGAGGAUUAGAUACCCUCGUAGUCCAUGCCGUAAACGAUGUGUGUUAGACGUUGGAAAUUUAUUUUCAGUGUCGCAGCGAAAGCAUUAAACACACCGCCUGGGGAGUACGACCGCAAGGUUAAAACUCAAAUGAAUUGACGGGGACCCGCACAAGUAGUGGAGCAUGUGGUUUAAUUCGAAGAUACGCGCAGAACCUUACCAACACUUGACAUGUUCGUCGCGACUUUAAGAGAUUAAAGUUU